rnacentral:rRNA from 1 species
AGAUUGAACGCUAGCGGGAUGCUUUACACAUGCAAGUCGAACGGCAGCGCGGACUUCGGUCUGGCGGCGAGUGGCGAACGGGUGAGUAAUAUAUCGGAACGUGCCCAGUAGCGGGGGAUAACUACGCGAAAGCGUGGCUAAUACCGCAUACGCCCUACGGGGGAAAGGGGGGAUCGCAAGACCUCUCACUAUUGGAGCGGCCGAUAUCAGAUUAGCUAGUUGGUGAGGUAAAGGCUCACCAAGGCGACGAUCUGUAGCUGGUUUGAGAGGACGACCAGCCACACUGGGACUGAGACACGGCCCAGACUCCUACGGGAGGCAGCAGUGGGGGAAUUUGGACAAUGGGGGAAACCUGAUCCAGCCAUCCCGCGUGUGCGAUGAAGGCCUUCGGGUUGU